rnacentral:rRNA from 1 species
UGGUGGAGUGAUUUGUCUGGUUAAUUCCGAUAACGAACGAGACCUUAACCUGCUAAAUAGCUACGUUAUGCUUUGUCAUGGCGGUUAGCUUCUUAGAGGGACUGCCAGUGUUUAACUGGCGGAAGUUUGAGGCAAUAACA